CUUUUUCUCCCGCAGACCGGACUGUCGGGUCUCAGGGUCACGUGCUUCCGGUCGCAGGCUCACGGCUGAGUGUCGGUGAGACAGCAACAUGGCGGCGGGGCUUCAUCAGUGUGUUAAAGACGCCUUCUGCUUGUGCCACCUUCACCGUCACCUGGCUGCUAAACACACACUGAGAAGUGACGCGGUGUGUCCACUGGGUGGUGCUGGUGUUGACAGAUCUUCUUAAUCCCGCAUCCUGAAACACCUGAGCGUGCGGUUUUUGGAGGGACAGGAAGUCGGUCAGAGUCAAGCAGAACGUGACUUUUAUCUUCACAAAUCAUAAAGUUCUUCCAGGCUGCUGUCUGAGCGAUGAGGACAGCUGGCGCCUCCUGGUGGUCACUGGUGGCUACAUGCUCUGCAAUAACAACAGCAUCACCACAGUGAAUAAAGCAGCCCACAGUGUUAAACCCU